AAGUCGUAACAAGGUCUCCGUAGGUGAACCUGCGGAGGGAUCAUUAACACUAUUUGAUUUCUUUCAAUAAUUAAUUAGCGCUUAGUUAAUUAGUUAAGGCUAGAGAUUCAAAUUUUCACACACCACGUGCAAUUCGGUUUUCUUUUAUUAGGAAACCAAUUCUGGAUUCCGUAAGGAACCCAAAAAACCUUUUUUUUUCACCAUACUCCAAUCGACUGUUUUAGUUGAAGGCCAGUGAAAGCUGGUGCUUCUUCAUGAUUUCUAAACUAAGCACAACUCUUAGCAACGGAUAUCUUGGUUCUC
rnacentral:misc_RNA from 1 species